rnacentral:lncRNA from 1 species
AUGGAUCUGUGGGUAUUUGGCCUUUCUUUCGAUAAGUACGUUGGCUGCAGACAACGUAUUGUCAAAAGUUAGGACAAGAUACCCUACCCCUUUGGGGAAUAUCUGGAUUGGGUCGGUAUUUCUUUUCUCUUCCAUGAGAGGUGACUGCCAUCUUUGAUCAUCUAGUGAGCCUGGUGGUUGGCUCAAAGGUCGCAACUUGCGUUGUUGUACAAGGUAUAUGUUUUAGUUUACCUUGGAUACCUUGGUUGGGAUUGGGUCGUUGUUCGGUCACUUGGUGAAAGGUAUGUUGUAGUCUCGAUGAGAUGGGCAUUUAGUG